rnacentral:rRNA from 1 species
UACGAAGGUGGCGAAUGUUGCUCGGAUUCACUGGGCGUAAAGCGUCCGCAGGUGGUCUAUUAAGUCAGAUGUGAAAGCCCCGCGCUUAACGUGGGAACUGCAUUUGAAACUAGUAGACUCGAGGGCAAGAGAGGAGGGCGGAAUUUCCGGUGUAGAGGUGAAAUUCGUAGAUAUCGGAAGGAACACCCAUGGCGAAGGCAGCUCUCUGGCUUGCUCCUGACACUCAUGGACGACAGCGUGGGGAUCAAACAGG